AUAUAAAUAUAAAACUGAUAAAGUAUAUGCUUCAUAGUUCCGCCUACAACCCUUAUGUAUUGAAUUCCGUAUCUUGCCCUAAAAAGAACAUUAUGUAUUUUAAUUUCCCUGUGAUUUGUGUCCCAUUAAAAUAAAGUAAUACUAUAGUAUUUUUUUUCUUUUUUUAGAUUAAUUUUUUUUAUAGCACACUAAACACAAGAACAAUUUAUUGUUUUCCUUCAGGCAUACUAAUCUUGGUUUGAUUUCAAAUAUGAAAUUGAGAGAUGAGUUUUCAAAGCAUUCAAGCUGCCUAAUCAGUUCGAGAUCAAUAAUUUGUUUGUCAGAGUGCUAAGCUUAUGAUAGCCAAGAGAUUGGAUAUCAUUCAUUUUAAAUGCAUAUUUUUGAUGGUAAUAAACAUAUUUAUGAAAUUUGAAAAACAAAUGCAUCUUUAACAAUAUUUUAAUGUGCAGAUAUUUAAAUGCAUAAGCUUAUUUAUCAAUACAUGCAAUAAACAACAAUGGAAUUGUAAUGAGAAAUUUGAUCAAAUGUACAUUGGUACCAUAUUUUGUCUUUUUUUUACAUAUUUUGUGGAGAACAUGAACUAUUGAUUUUGUUUAUUAUUUUUAAUAAAAUAUGUGCUAAAAAUUUGACCAUGUAAAUUAUUUGAUAGCCUUCAUGAGCAGAAGCCUUGAUUAGUAAUAAAAUUGUGUAAGUGUGUAUACAUGUGGUAGGUAAAUAGUAAGUUCAGGCAAAAAGCUUUUACGUAGAGAAGUUAUUUGAACUUUAAUACAUGGUUUGCCUAACUAUUAUUCAGGAAACCUGGUCCCAUUCUCAAAAGGAUGUUAUCGGCAAGCAAGGGGCCACUUUCCAAGGAUGAGUUGUGAGUUUGAUAGCUAGUGGCCAAAUUCUGGCUGUAGGUGAGAAGGGGCCACUUGCCCUGGACACUGGUUUCUUUGGCAAAUGGCUUUGAAACCUGGACAGGAGUAUUUUGCUUACUUACUGCUUAAUAUAUAAUAAACAUUUAUUAGCAGAUGACCGGUUACAUAAGGGAAUUCACUGAAGAGUUUUAUUAUAGUGUUGUUACUAAAAUUGUGGUACAAAAAACAUCUGAACUAUCUCUAUGGAUUAUUACACCUUUAGCAACCCAAUAUUGCUUGUUUGUGUCUCAGAUAUUUUGUUGUAUUUAGUGUCCAUUACAUUGAUCAUUGGUUGUAAGCUGUUAUUAGCAGAGUACCAGUAUUUGUAUUCAAUAAAACAGGAUUAUUAGAUAUCUUUAGCUAUUUAAAAUCAUUGAAAAGCAUUUUAAUAAGCUCACCACCAAGAUUUUAUUAAAAUGUAUUUUGUUCUCUCAUUAUAGUAUUUGACUUAAUAUUAAUAUUUAUAAUACUCAUAUUUGAAACAAUUCUUACUUUACAUACAUACUCUGUUUUCUGCACCCUUUUUAAAACAAAAAAAACCACACACACGUAAAUUAUCCCUCCUUUUUUUGUCUAUACUAUUUCAGGUUAGAAAGUUUGCAUCCUUAUAUUGGGGUUGUAUGCUUAUCCCUCAUUCACAUUCAGCCACCUGGGUAUUCAAAUAUUUUGAAAUACAUCAUUCUUGCAUUUUGGCCUUUUAUUUAUUUUUUUUAAAAGCUACUCUGCAUUAAGAUUUGCUCUAAUUUUAUGUUAACACAACUACUGAAGUACUUGGAAAAAAUAAAAUUCUCUCUCAAAAGCAAAAAAUUCCCAACCACAUAGACAAAAAAGUAAUUGAAGUUACAGAUUUAAAUUUGAGGAGUUGGAUACAGGCUGGCAUCACCAGUGUUUCUCAAUUAAUAAAGAAUGGGGUAAUAAAAACUUUCUCACAAUUAACGAAAUAAUAUAAACUAUCAUCAAAAGAAACCUUUACUUUUCUUAUAUUAAAAAGCUUCUUAUCAUCCCAUCUUAUAAAUUCUAAGACCCUGAUUGUAGAAAGGACGAUGACCCUGUUAAAUUCUAAUGACACAGUGGGACCUUUCUCGAAAGCCCCUCUCACUGAUUAGACUACCUAUAAAAGAUGUAAAACCCACAGUUCUACCAGUUUGACAAAAAGGAGCUAAACAUAACAAUGCACUCCAAAGAAUGGGAUACCUCCCUUAGAACUGUAUCUAAAAAUAUUCACUCUCUUAAUUUAAUCGAAUCUCAUUUCAAGGUGCUCAACAGGUGGCACUUGAACAGAAUGUUUCCAAAUGAAGACCAUCUAUGUUGAUAAACCACUGGUACUUAUCUGCAUGCGUGGUGGAAUUGUGUUAAGGUAAAGAAUGUAUGGGGAAACUACAUACAAUUUUCUUAACUCUAUCAUUAAUUGUAAAAUUUUGAAAUCUCCAGAGGUAGCUUUACUUCACCUUAAGAGGCCCUCUAAGUCUAUAUUGAAUAAAUUGAUUACAAACCACCUAUUUUUAGUAACCAAUAUAGUUAUCUCAAGACAUUGGAGAAGCGAAAAUUAUAUUCCUUGGUCAUUCGUUAAAAAUCGAAUCCUAUUUCAAGUCAAAAUGGAACAAUUGACUAACGAAUCAAACAUAAAUAGGACCAGAAAUAAAUCCUUAUGGGAUGUAUGUCUGGAAAAAAUUUACAAUAGUUUUAAUACAUUUAAUUAUGGAGACACUUGUUAAUCUAGAAUCCUUACAUUUAUGGUUUUAGGUAUAUAAAUAUAACGACAACUAUUACAGUAUCACAUAUUCCUGAUAAUCACUCUAAAUAUAAUUGAACCCUGGCUGCAGAGUUCAUUGUAGCUCCCCUUCCUCUUUGGCACAUCCUAGGAAGAUAUUUAUGUUUCUGUCUUAUGUUGUAUGUUGUGUUCUAGUUGGGUUGGCUGAUAUUAAUCAUUUUAAGACAUAUGAAUUUCGAUCCCAAAUAAGGUCUAUUCUUUUAUGUAAUUGUGAUGAAGGAUUUAUCCCAACUCUGUCUAUUGUAUAGAUUUUUUUAGUUUUUGUAAUAAAUCUGAAUUAUUUCAAUAUUUUUUUUUUCUUCUAAAAAAAAAAAAGCAAAACUUUCUUUGAAUGUCUUGGACACCUCAAAUGGAGAUAGUUCUUGUGUUAUUUUGACAUUUAGAAAACAUUUUGCAAAUUAUAUAUAUAUAUUGCUUUCUCUGCUUCAUGCAGACAUAUUUUAAAUAAAAUAUAAUGAUCUAAUGUUGCAGGUAGUAUACGCUGAAUAGUAUUCACUAAACCAAGAAUUAUGAAAAAUUGCAAAUCUUAGCAAAAAGGAUUUCCCCCCUUAAACCUAGAAUAAACCCUAUAUUUUUAUAUUCUGAAAAAAAAAAAACAACUAACAUAUUUCAGUUUCAAUGGCAUUAGUACUUUGGGAGUGCACAUUAUGAAUGUAUGUCUUAUUGCAAGAUAAUGUAAACGUUUUAAUUUGUUUCACUCUUCACUGCAAUAUAAUCAUGUUUAUUCUGUAAAGAUGUACAUUUUUGCCAAAAUAUUGUUGACAUAUUACUGUAAUGACAAAAUGCCAAAAUAGCAAGUGUUUUUGUACAAGUAUCAAAAAUGUUAUUGUAAAUUGGUGUAAUAUUUCCAGAGUUAAUUUAUGACAUGUUUCAUCAUAUCUUUUUUUUUUUUUUCUGUUUAUUUUAUAGUUUUUAGUUUAGGUUCUAUUAUAUAAUUUUGGUUUUGGUAUUAAAUAUAAAUGCAUAUGAUAAACAUCACUGGUUACAAGCUGC
rnacentral:lncRNA from 1 species